CAGUAGCCGCGGGAAUACGUAGGUGGCAAGCGUUGUCCGGAAUUAUUGGGCGUAAAGGGCUCGCAGGCGGUUUCUUAAGUCUGAUGUGAAAGCCCCCGGCUCAACUGGGGAGGGUCAUUGGAAACUGGGAAACUUGAGUGCAGAAGAGGAGAGUGGAAUUCCACGUGUAGCGGUGAAAUGCGUAGAGAUGUGGAGGAACACCAGUGGCGAAGGCGACUCUCUGGUCUGUAACUGACGCUGAGGAGCGAAAGCGUGGGGAGCGAACAGGAUUAGAUACCCGCGUAGUCCCUGUCUCUUAUAC
rnacentral:rRNA from 1 species